AGAGUUUGAUCAUGGCUCAGGAUGAACGCUGGCGGCGUGCCUAACACAUGCAAGUCGAGCGAUCUCUUCGGAAGAGAGCGGCGGACGGGUGAGUAACGCGUGGGUAACCUGCCUCAUACACAUGGAUAACAUACCGAAAGGUAUGCUAAUACAAGAUGAUAUAAGAGAUUCGCAUGGAUUUCUUAUCAAAGCUUUUGCGGUAUGAGAUGGACCCGCGUCUGAUUAGCUAGUUGGUAAGGUAACGGCUUACCAAGGCGACGAUCAGUAGCCGACCUGAGAGGGUGAUCGGCCACAUUGGAACUGAGACACGGUCCAAACUCCUACGGGAGGUAGCAGUGGGGAAUAUUGCACAAUGGGCGAAAGCCUGAUGCAGCAACGCCGCGUGAGCGAUGAAGGCCUUCGGGUCGUAAAGCUCUGUCCUCAAGGAAGAUAAUGACGGUACUUGAGGAGGAAGCCCCGGCUAACUACGUGCCAUCAGCCGCGGUAAUACGUAGGGGGCUAGCGUUAUCCGGAUUUACUGGGCGUAAAGGGUGCGUAGGUGGUUUCUUAAGUCAGGAGUGAAAGGCUACGGCUUAACCGUAGUAAGCUCUUGAAACUGGGAAACUUGAGUGCAGGAGAGGAAAGUGGAAUUCCUAGUGUAGCGGUGAAAUGCGUAGAUAUUAGGAGGAACACCAGUAGCGAAGGCGGCUUUCUGGACUGUAACUGACACUGAGGCACGAAAGCGUGGGGAGCAAACAGGAUUAGAUACCCUGGUAGUCCACGCCGUAAACGAUGAGUACUAGGUGUCGGGGGUUACCCCCCUCGGUACCGCAGCUAACGCAUUAAGUACUCCGCCUGGGGAGUACGCUCGCAAGAGUGAAACUCAAAGGAAUUGACGG
rnacentral:rRNA from 1 species